CCUACGGGUGGCUGCAGUGGGGAAUAUUGGACAAUGGGCGAAAGCCUGAUCCAGCCAUGCCGCGUGUGUGAAGAAGGCCUUCGGGUUGUAAAGCACUUUCAGUGGGGAAGAAAGCCUUGGGGCUAAUACCCUCGAGGAAGGACAUCACCCACAGAAGAAGCACCGGCUAACUCCGUGCCAGCAGCCGCGGUAAUACGGAGGGUGCGAGCGUUAAUCGGAAUUACUGGGCGUAAAGCGCGCGUAGGCGGUCUGAUAAGCCGGUUGUGAAAGCCCCGGGCUCAACCUGGGAACGGCAUCCGGAACUGUCAGGCUAGAGUGCAGGAGAGGAAGGUUGAAUUCCCGGUGUAGCGGUGAAAUGCGUAGAGAUCGGGAGGAAUACCAGUGGCGAAGGCGGCCUUCUGGACUGACACUGACGCUGAGGUGCGAAAGCGUGGGUAGCAAACAGGAUUAGAUACCCCUGUAGUC
rnacentral:rRNA from 1 species